GACGGAGGGCGCGAGCGUUGUCCGGAUUUAUUGGGCGUAAAGAGCGUGUAGGCGGCUUUACAGGUCCGUUGUGAAAACUCGAGGCUCAACCUCGAGACGCCGGUGGAAACCGUAAGGCUAGAGUCCGGAAGAGGAGAGUGGAAUUCCUGGUGUAGCGGUGAAAUGCGCAGAUAUCAGGAGGAACACCCGUGGCGAAAGCGGCUCUCUGGGACGGUACUGACGCUGAGACGCGAAAGCGUGGGGAGCGAACAGG
rnacentral:rRNA from 1 species